UACGUAGGGUCCGAGCGUUGUCCGGAGUUACUGGGCGUAAAGGGCACGCAGGCGGUGCGGCGCGUUUCGCGUGACAGCGGAGGGCUUAACUCUCCGAGGAUGCGAAAGACGGCGGCACUUGAGGGCCAGAGAGGGACACGGAAUUCCGGGUGGAGUGGUGAAAUGCGUAGAGAUCCGGAGGAACACCGAAGGCGAAGGCAGUGUCCUGGCUGGUGACUGACGCUGAGGUGCGAAAGCUAGGGGAGCGAACGGG
rnacentral:rRNA from 1 species